GACGAACGCUGGCGGCGUGCUUAACACAUGCAAGUCGAACGGUAAGGCUCCAGCUUGCUGGGGUACACGAGUGGCGAACGGGUGAGUAACACGUGGGUGACCUGCCCUGCACUUCGGGAUAAGCCUGGGAAACUGGGUCUAAUACCGGAUAGGACCAUGGUGUGGAUACUGUGGUGGAAAGUUUUUUCGGUGUGGGAUGGGCCCGCGGCCUAUCAGCUUGUUGGUGGGGUAAUGGCCUACCUAGGCGGCGACGGGUAGCCGGCCUGAGAGGGUGGACGGCCACAUUGGGACUGAGACACGGCCCAGACUCCUACGGGAGGCAGCAGUGGGGAAUAUUGCACAAUGGGCGGAAGCCUGAUGCAGCGACGCCGCGUGGGGGAUGACGGCCUUCGGGUUGUAAACUCCUUUCACCAUCGACGAAGGGUUUCUGACGGUAGAUGGAGAAGAAGCACCGGCUAACUACGUG
rnacentral:rRNA from 1 species